AUUUUAGAACUGUGACACAGGAGCAUCACCUUUGAAAGGUUACAAAUGUUACAAAUGACACCAAUGAAGGAUAUAUGAGCAACUGUUAUAUACCAGAAACAGGAUGCAGUUACAAAAUUAAUAAACUUGCAAGUGAUCCUGCAUGCAUAUGAGAACUGAACACCAGACAGUAUCGUUACCAAACAGUACUGAGUAUUCUUUUGGAGGGAAUUCUGUUUAAAGAAAUUGGAGGAAAAAAGUCGAAGAUGAUUAUUUCAAGUGUCACUUUUAAAACCCACUUUCUUCACUGGACAGCCAUAACACCACAUACAGCAAAACUCGUUUAGUACAAACUCGGAUAUUGUGAAUUUACAGAUAAAGCGAAGUCAUCUUGGAUCCCCAACUAUAUAAAUUAAACACAUUCCUUAUACAGAUAUAACAAAUUAUGAAUAUAGCAAAGUAAUUUCGAAGGUCCCUAUGCCUUUGUCAUAACUAAGUUUAAAUACUGUAACAGUAAA